GAUACCAGGGUCAAAAGGUCAUGCGUUUCAUGCUUGCAUGAAAAAGCAUGACCUUUUGGGACCCGCAAAACAUGAGAAAGUAGCCCGAUUAGGGUGAAUUUCGAAUGUUUCUAGGAUUGCGAGAACACAUAGUGCGGAGCAAUCCGUAGGUAUC
rnacentral:sRNA from 1 species